GACCCUUCUCCGGGAAAAGAGAGAGUGCCAGCGCAACUAAGUCCCACCCAAACAGGCUACACCUAUUACCUCCCCCUGGACGUAAAACGGGGGUAGAUACAUCACACAAACUUAGUAUUGUUCGCCCAAGACUAUGGACAAGUUUCUCCAGCAAUUUCAUUGAAUAUAACACAUUUUGGAAACAAUGCGACCUGGAAGUGGAAUAGUUAUUGCUGCCUUGUUCAGCCUGGGCUGCAGCAUGACACUGACAGCGGACAAGAAAGAGGAUACAUGGCACAGACUCAGGAAAUUCCACACUUCUCUGUGAGGAGGGAGGGGAGAGGCAGGAGCACAGGAGUGGGCAGAGGAGAACUCUGGAGGAGGAGAGAGGUCAUCUGUGGACUGUAUACGAAUGGAAAGACAAUGAUCCAAAACACACUUCCAGGCUGUGUAAGGAGAGUGAUGGAGUGCUGCAUCAGAUGAACUGGCCUCCACAAUCACCCGACCUCAACCCAAUUGAGAUGGUUUGGGAUGAGUUGGACCGCAGAGUGAAGAAAAAGCAUCCAAAAAGUGCUCAACGUGUGGGAACUCCUUCAAAACUAUUGGAAAAGCAUUCCUCAUGAAGCUGGUUGAGAGAUUGCUAAGAGUGUACAAAGCUGUCAUCAAGGCAUAGGGUGGCUACUUUGAAGAACGUAAAAUAUAAAAUAUAUUUUGAUUUGUUUAACACUUUUUUUGGUUACUACAUGAUUCCAUAUGUGUUUUUCAUAGUUUUGAUGUCUUCACUAUAAUUCUACAAUGUAGAAAAUAGUAAAAAAUAAAGGAAAAAAAACUUGAAUGAGUAGGUGUGUCCAAACUUUUGACUGGUACUGUAUACACUUUUACAGUAUUUUGUGUAGAUCAAUGACCAAAAAUUACAAUUAAAUAUAUUUCAAUCCCACUUUUUAACGCACCAAAUGUUAAAACAGUUCAAGGGGGUGUAGAUAUUCUGUAGGCACUGUAUGUGAUGGGUCCCAUAGCACUUGGACAGAAGGAAACUUGCUCACUCUCGAAACUAUUCUAGUGUCUAAUUUGGCCUUUCAGAGUCAUCCAGCUGUACCCUGUAACAUAUCAUAUUUGGAAAUUGAAUAUAAACUUUAGUUCUAUAUUUCCAGCUAAGACAAAUGAACUGCAAUGCCUCAUACAGCAAACAUUGAACUUGCAAUGUCAGCUAAAUAAACUCAUACGGUGGGUGUACAGAAGAAAUAAAACGAUUGAGAUUGCAAAAUCUCUCUCACAUAGACCCCACCCAGUACAACACACACAGGAACUUCUUCCUAUGCAGUCUGGCAUGGCCUUGCAGUGGAGGCUUUCCAAGUCAAACAAUCAACUAAAACCUGUUCUUCAGAAACAAAGCAGGAGGAUCAUAGAGAGCUAAACCAGAGAGGAUAGCACGCUUUACAUCACUGGAAUCCAAGAAGUCAUAUUAGCAGUCUAAUUUAUCUUCUCAUUCCCCAUCUCUUUCACUUAAGGUUUUUAACUAAUUACUCUAAUAGUCUACUGUGAACUACAGUCAUUGAAAAAAUAGCCCUUGCACACCUACUUUGUGUAUGUUUGAAAAAGAAGAAAACAGCAUACUGGUGUUCUUGAAUACUUCACAAUUUGAUUCAAAUAUGAGCAUAUAAGAUCACCAGUGUGCUACGAGCAGCAGCAGAGUGCAGGGGACAGUUUUUGAGGAAGGGGGGAUGAGUUCAACACACUGGUGUGAUUGAAGGAGUGGGAAGGGAGGAAGAGUUCAGUGGUGUAAACUACUUAAGUACAAAUACUUUACAGUACUACUUACAGUGCCUUGCGAAAGUAUUCGGCCCCCUUGAACUUUGCGACCUGAUAGACUGAUAGAGACAUAGAGACAUAGAGACAACUGAUAGAGACAUACCCCAAGCAACUUACAGCUGUAAUCGCAGCAAAAGGUGGCGCUACAAAGUAUUAACUUAAGGGGGCUGAAUCAUUUUGCACGCCCAAUUUUUCCGUUUUUGAUUUGUUAAAAAAGUUUGAAAUAUCCAAUAAAUGUCGUUCCACUUCAUGAUUGUGUCCCACUUGUUGUUGAUUCUUCACAAAAAAAUACAGUAUUAUAUCUUUAUGUUUGAAGCCUGAAAUGUGGCAAAAGGUCGCAAAGUUCAAGGGGGCCAAAUACUUUCGCAAGGCACUGUAAGUAGUUUUUUGGGGGUGUCUGUACUUUACAUGACUAUUUAUAUUUUACUUCACUACAUUCCUAAUGAAGAUAAUGUACUUUUUACUCCAUACAUUUUCCCUGACACCCAAAAGUACUCGUUACAUUUUGAAUGCUUAACAGGACAGGAAAUGGUCCAAUUCACACACUUAUCAAGAGAACAUCCCUGUCAUCUCUACUACCUCUGGUGGACUCAUUAAACACAAAUGCUUUGGGGAAUGGAUAGUAGGGGAACGGGUACUGGAACAGUAAGGGAAUGGAUACUGGAACAGUAGGGGAGGGAUACUGGAACAUAGGGGUGAGGGAUACUAGACCAGUAGGAGGGAGGGAUAUUGGAACAGUAGGGGAGGGAUACUGGAACAGUAGGGGAAUGGAUACUGGAACAGUAGGGGAUACUGGAACAGUAGGUGGAGGGAUACUGGAACAGUAGGGGAAUGGAUACUGGAACAGUAGGGGAAUGGAUACUGGAACAGUAGGGGAAUGGAUACUGGAACAGUAGGGGAAUGGAUACUGGAACAGUAGGGGAAUGGAGUAGGGGCAUUUGGCAAAGUGGGUGGGGUUAUAUCCUUCCUGUUUGGCCCUGUCCGGGGGUGACCUCGGAUGGGGCCACAGUAUCUCCUGACCCCUCCUGUCUCAGCCUCCAGUAUUUAUGCUGCAGUAGUUUAUGUGUCG
ensembl:lncRNA